UAAUGGUGUUUAUUACUGUAUCAGGUGAAUAUGUAUGGUUUUAUGCUGCCUUGACCCAUCUUAUCAUGUGUGAAUAUGACUUCCCGUAGAAACCUGAGCUUGAAAACAAAAGCAUAAAUUCAUCACCCUUGGCCAAAGAGUUCAUAUUCAGAAAGGCAUUUUGGGGGGGAAUUAACCCUUCUCCCUGCCAUUAUGCACUUGGAUCUCAAGUGCGUACCACAUACUUUGCUGACCUGGGACCUCUGUCAGCACAUAAAUA